GAUGAACGCUAGCUACAGGCUUAACACAUGCAAGUCGCGGGGCAGCAUGUCGGUUGCUUGCAACCGAUGAUGGCGACCGGCGCACGGGUGAGUAACGCGUAUCCAACCUGCCCUUCACUACGGAAUAAUCCAGUGAAAAUUGGUCUAAUACCGUAUGAGGUCAUACGAUGGCAUCAGAAUAUGACGAAAGGUUUGGCGGUGAAGGAUGGGGAUGCGUCUGAUUAGCUUGUUGGUAAGGUAACGGCUCACCAAGGCGACGAUCAGUAGGGGUUCGGAGAGGAAGGUCCCCCACAUUGUAACUGAGACACGGUCCAAACUCCUACGGGAGGCAGCAGUGAGGAAUAUUGGUCAAUGGGCGAGAGCCUGAACCAGCCAAGUAGCGUGCAGGAAGACGGCCCUAUGGGUUGUAAACUGCUUUUAUAUGGGGAUAAAGUGAGCUACGUGUAGUUUAUUGCAGGUACCAUAUGAAUAAGGACCGGCUAAUUCCGUGCCAGCCGCCGCCGUAA
rnacentral:rRNA from 1 species